ACAGAGCCUCCUCAAACAGCAAGCAGCUGCCUUCACAUCAGAGUAAACACUGUGGAAGUCCUGGGAGUGAUUUACUGGUUUUAAUCAGAAACUUAAAAAAAGGCCAUGGGGUUUGGACUUCAAGAAAUAAUAUGAAUCUGAUAAUAUAAAUCAACACUAAUGGCUUACAACCAAGGCUGACUUUUAUUAGAGAAUACAGUAUCUAGGGUUAUUAGACGCACAUUUCCCAAAGGAAAGCUGGCUCAUUCCCUUCGAAGGCAGCUACUUGUCGGACACAGUGACUCCCAUUUACUUUUCAUUUGAUGGAGACUACAGAUGUAAUGUGGCCCCAUGCCCAUUUGAACCUGGGUUGGUGGACUGUUGGACUGUCUAUUAACAAUAGCCUGCAUCGCAUUGGCCUGUUGUGAAAUUAAUAACUUUUGAUCUGAAAAGUAAGGAUGAUCUAAUAACACAAGUUAUUAACAGUAGCAGUUGUACUUUAUCUUUUUUAUACAUUCUCAAAAGCAGAGGGACUGUGAUCAUGAGAUCACAUGUUAUCACUGUUGGAGAUAACAUUAUUUAUCACAUACUGCAAUUCAAUGUCGGGAUCAUGACUGCUUGUAUGGGUAUGGUGAGAGUGGUGAUUAUGGACUAUUUGACCGCUGGUCCCGCCUGUUAAGGGGAAAAGAAGAAGACACCGCCCUUUGAAAGAGGAACUGAUCUGGCGAUGCCAGGGGUGGACCGUGACGAAGCCACGUCCUUCACCUCCCCCCGUCAAGGGGACUGCCUGCAUUAAGGUGGAAGUUGGGGAGGUGGAGGGUAGGAUUACAACUGGGAUUGUGACAGCACUGCCCAGUUUCAGAGUGCUACAAGACAACAUUUAUUGCAAAAGCAUUGGAAUUUUUCCAUCGCUUUCGAAGAAAAAGAUGAAGAAAAUUACAUAAUGUAAUUGUGGUUUACUAACAAGUUCAUCAAAAAAGCAGAGAUUGCACUGGUCAAUCUACACUUCAGCGCAGAAGCAACUUUAGGAGCCACUUAGUGAAGCAUGGGUACAACAUUAUAUGCAAAACAACACCUAAAGAUACAUCAAAGAAAGAUUUACAAAUUCCAGUGAAUGUCCUUGAAUUGAAAAGUACAUCUGGACCCCCAUCAUUGCAAACCAGUGCAGUGUGUGCAAAUCGACAUUUACUUGUCACACAUCAUUACGACUCCAUGCUGCACACCAACAUGGCUCUGGCAAGGACCCCAUUUUUUGUGUAGAUGUGCUGAAAGGAAUAUACUUCACAGGAAAAGCACAAAGUGGUCCAAGGGCUCCAGUUCACGUACGGAAAUCUUUUACAGCACAAAUUCUAGAUUGUGGACUUGAAGAAUGCCGAGAGUUCAUGGCUCUUGCUAAUAGGAGUGGCAAUCCAGGAAUGGAAUGCUGCCAUUUUCAAAGAACGGUGCAUUCACUCCCAUAUUCACCUCCAAAUCAAUUAUGCCAGCAGCCCCUUGACAGACUUUUGAGCAAAGGAUUAAAAUCUAACUUUCGGAAAGAUGAGUGUGCAAGCAUGGCAUCUCAAGCCUCAAUUGAAGGUGCUUGUGCAGUUCAUCCAGUGCUUUAUGAUGCCCAUGGCUUUUCAGAAAGAUAUUUUUAUUUUUUAGUUUACACUGGUAAACAAGACUACUGGUGUCGUCACAUUUGACACAAAAACAGGGCACUGGUACUGCCAGUGCAAGGGAAGUAAGAAAAUGUCAUUCUGUGUGCACAGAUACUUGUCAAUGUGGUGGAUAUACCAAGAAAAACAGGAGGUGCUCUGUGAAACUGUAUCUGAAUCCUUGGCAGACCAUGAAGAUACCACCAGUGUUGAUGGCAGUUCCAUUGCUGUAGAAACAUGUCAAUAAAUUUACAUUUCACUACCGUACAUAUUCAUGGAAAGUGUACAACUGCUUUAUUCGAUCACAUCAAGAAGGUGAUGGGUUUCUGUGCUAGCCUUCAUAAAACAUCAUUAGUCCUGGAUGUUCUUGGUCCAGAGAUGUCUUGGAAUGCCUUGGAAACCCAUUCCUGUGCCAUUCAUCCGGAGAAGCCCCUUCCUCCUUUUCUAUUUUGUAAUUUUGUUAUUUUCUAUUUUUUUUUAUAUACGACAUAUAUUUGUUUUAAUAAUG